AUACAGAGGGUGCAAGCGUUAAUCGGAAUUACUGGGCGUAAAGCGAGCGUAGGUGGCUUGAUAAGUCAGAUGUGAAAGCUCCGGGCUUAACCUGGGAACGGCAUCUGAUACUGUUAGGCUGGAGUAGGUGAGAGGAAGGUAGAAUUCCAGGUGUAGCGGUGAAACGCGUAGAGAUCUGGAGGAAUACCGAUGGCGAAGGCAGCCUUCUGGCAUCAUACUGACACUGAGGUUCGAAAGCGUGGGUAGC
rnacentral:rRNA from 1 species